rnacentral:rRNA from 1 species
UACGGAGGGAGCAAGCGUUAUUCGGAAUCACUGGGCGUAAAGGACGCGUAGGCGGGUUGGUAAGUCAGAUGUGAAAUCCUACAGCUCAACUGUAGAACGGCAUUUGAAACUACCGACCUAGAGUAUGGAAAGGGCAGAUGGAAUUAGUGGUGUAGGGGUAAAAUCCGUAGAUAUCACUAGGAAUACCGAAAGCGAAGGCGAUCUGCUGGGACAUUACUGACGCUGAGGCGUGAAAGCGUGGGGAGCAAACAGGAUUAGAUACCCUGGUAGUCCACGCCCUAAACGAUGAACACUAGUCGUCGGAGUACACGUUACUUCGGUGAUGCACUUAACAGAUUAAGUGUUCCGCCUGGGGAGUACGGUCGCAAGAUUAAAACUCAAAGGAAUAGACGGGGACCCGCACAAGUGGUGGAGCAUGUGGUUUAAUUCGAAGAUACGCGAAGAACCUUACCCAGCCUUGACAUUGAUAGAAUUCGGUAGAGAUACCGGAGUGCCAGUUUACUGGAGCUUGAAAACAGGUGCUGCACGGCUGUCGUCAGCUCGUGUCGUGAGAUGUUGGGUUAAGUCCCGCAACGAGCGCAACCCUCGUCCUUAGUUGCCAGCAGUUCGGCUGGGCACUCUAGGGAGACUGCCUUCGUAAGGAGGAGGAAGGUGAGGACGACGUCAAGUCAUCAUGGCCCUUACGGCUAGGGCUACACACGUGCUACAAUGGGGCGUACAGAGUGUUGCGAUACCGCGAGGUGGAGCUAAUCACUUAAAGCGUCUCUCAGUUCGGAUUGGAGUCUGCAACUCGACUCCAUGAAGCUGGAAUCACUAGUAAUCGUAGAUCAGCAAUGCUACGGUGAAUACGUUCCCGGGUC